AACGAACGCUGGCGGCAGGCUUAGCACAUGCAAGUCGAGCGCCCCGCAAGGGGAGCGGCAGACGGGUGAGUAACGCGUGGGAAUCUACCCAUCUCUACGGAAUAACGCAUGGAAACGUGUGCUAAUACCGUAUACGUCCUUCGGGAGAAAGAUUUAUCGGAGAUGGAUGAGCCCGCGUUGGAUUAGCUAGUUGGUGGGGUAAAGGCCUACCAAGGCGACGAUCCAUAGCUGGUCUGAGAGGAUGAUCAGCCACACUGGGACUGAGACACGGCCCAGACUCCUACGGGAGGCAGCAGUGGGGAAGAUUGGACAAUGGGCGCAAGCCUGAUCCAGCCAUGCCGCGUGAGUGAUGAAGGCCCUAGGGUUGUAAAGCUCUUUCACCGGUGAAGAUAAUGACGGUAACCGGAGAAGAAGCCCCGGCUAACUUCGUGCCAGCCGCCGCGGUAAGAC
rnacentral:rRNA from 1 species